rnacentral:pre_miRNA from 1 species
UUGUUUAGCAAGAACUUUGGCUGUGACCUGCGUCCUAUUAUGCGAAUCGCAUCACAGUCUGAGUUCUUGCUGAACGA